GUAACUUUAAGAAUGGGUUUCAUUCAUCAGGAAACCAAUAUGACAUGAAAAAGAGCUGCUGUCUCCUGACCUGCUGUCCAAGAUAAAUCAACACUUCCUGUCUGUCCGUCCUCAGUCCACUCCCCCUCAGUACAAGGUCCAGGACAUGAAGGUUCCCACCGCGCUGUUUUCAGGGGGACACGAUACGCUGGCGGACCCCAAAGAUGUGGCCGUCCUCCUCACUCAGGUGUCUAACCUGGUGUUCCAUAAGCACAUCGAGCACUGGGACCAUCUGGACUUCAUUUGGGGUCUGGACGCUCCGGAGCAGAUGUUCCCGUCCAUCCUGAAGCUGCUGCAGCAGGACCGCCACUAGAGGGCACCACGCCGAGUGUGUGAGGGCCUGUUCACGUCUGCAGCACAGCGUGGGGACCACUGGACUUUACACCAGCAGCAGGACCUCUAAAGGUUUCAAUGAGGAAAGUGUGUGUGUGUGUGUGUGUGUGUGUGUGUGUGUGUGUGUGUGUGUGUGUGCGUGUGUGCGCGUGUGCGCGUGUGGUGUGUGUGUGUGUGUGUGUGCGUGUGUGUUUUAAGCAGGGCUCUACCUAUAGACCUUUUUUAACAUGUUUUAGUCUGUGCUAAUCUUUGAGAUGAGUCGUCGGUCUAUGAAGUGUCAGAAAGGGUUGAAUCUGAAUAUGAUAUUGAUUAAUGAUCAGAAUAAUAGGAUUGAAUGUAUAACUGAAAAUGAAACUGUGACGUCUAUUCUGUUUUACAGCAAAUUGAACCAGCCAACAAUAUAACAAAUACAUAUCUCUAUCAGCUCUUACAUGUUACUGCAUGAAUAAUAAGCACAUUUGAUAAAGUAUAAAAAGCCCAUUUAGCUUUUUAGUGAGUACUUUUAUAUUUUGAACACAUUUCUUUAUUAUACUUGUAAUGCAGGAUUUAUACUCAAAGCUUUCUAACAUGCAGUAUAAGUGGUUAAAGAAAGACGUUCCCAUCAGCCUUCACUGUGUUCUAUGUCUACUGCGCGUUAGCACGCGUUAGCUUGCUGUUAGCAUGCAGUCGGUGUUCACCUGUUGAAACACCUGGACUGUUACCUCAGAAAACAUCUGUGUACCUCUUUAAAGUGUCUGACCUGCAGGAAGUCACAUGUUCAUAUGUUAUCCUUUCAACCUGUGUGCACAACGCUUAUCCUGCUGCCAAUCAGGAGGAACCACCGCAUCCAAUCAGGAGCCUUGUAGGGGGCGGGGCUUCACUUUGACCGUCUUUUUAUUUUAAUUUCUGACAUUUUCUAAUCUGUUAAAUGUGAACAAUAAUAAAUCAUAACAACAACACACUC